UACGUAGGGUGCGAGCGUUAAUCGGAAUUACUGGGCGUAAAGUGUGCGCAGGCGGCCGCGCAAGUCGAGUGUGAAAAGCCCCCGGGCUUAACUUGGGAAUUGCGCUCGAAACUACGUGGCUGGAGUGUGGCAGAGGAAGGUGGAAUUCCACGUGUAGCGGUGAAAUGCGUAGAGAUGUGGAGGAACACCAAUGGCGAAGGCAGCCUUCUGGGCCAACACUGACGCUCAUGCACGAAAGCGUGGGGAGCAAACAGG
rnacentral:rRNA from 1 species